rnacentral:rRNA from 1 species
GAGUUUGAUCCUGGUUCAGGACGUACGCUGGCGGCGCGCCUAACACAUGCAAGUCGAGCGGAGAUAUUAGUAAUAAUAUCUUAGCGGCGGACGGGUGAGUAACGCGUGGGCAACCUACCUUAAGAGGGGAAUAACUUAGGGAAACUUAAGAUAAUACCGCAUAACACUAUAGUAGAGCAUUCUACAGUAGUCAAAGGAGUAAUCCGCUUUAAGAUGGGCCCGCGUCUGAUUAGCUAGUUGGUGGGGUAACGGCCUACCAAGGCAGCGAUCAGUAGCCGAACUGAGAGGUUGAUCGGCCACAUUGGGACUGAGACACGGCCCAGACUCCUACGGGAGGCAGCAGUGGGGAAUAUUGCGCAAUGGGGGAAACCCUGACGCAGCGACGCCGCGUGGAGGAAGAAGGUCUUUGGAUUGUAAACUCUUGUCGACAGGGAAGAAAAAAGACGGUACCUGUGGAGGAAGCCCCGGCUAACUACGUGCCAGCAGCCGCGGUAAUACGUAGGGGGCUAGCGUUGUCCGGAAUUACUGGGUGUAAAGGGCGUGUAGGCGGGAUAUUAAGUCAGAUGUGAAAGGCCGAGGCUCAACUUCGGGACUGCAUCUGAAACUAAUAUUCUUGAGUGCAGGAGAGGAAAGCGGAAUUCCAAGUGUAGCGGUGAAAUGCGUAGAUAUUUGGAGGAACACCAGUGGCGAAGGCGGCUUUCUGGACUGUA